CAUUCUAAUUAGAACAUGUCAGUAGCCUCGUCAUCACGCGUAUUCAGUGUCCCCAUGUUUCAAAACGGUGGUGGGGGUGCUUUAACUAGAGCUCUAACUAAAAUAUGCCCCCUCCACCCCAAACCACAUGUAAAGAUGCCCAUAGGGACUGAGCUCAAACCUGAGUAAGGGCCAGAACAGCCCACAGCUGUUUAUUCAAAGGGUGUGAAAAACUUCAUCAGUCCCUUUCCAUGGCUGCAAAGCUGAUCACAACAGCCAUUUCCAUGAACAGGAAUGCUCAUUCCCUCAGUGAGACAACUGGCCUAGACUCCAGCUAGGAAGAGGGGAAUAGGGCUAGUUCUGCUUUCUUGGUUUUCAGAACUGGGGCCAUAAUUAAGAUGGAUAGCUGGGGGCAUUUGUAUUGUGCCACUAGAGGUGAAAUUCCUGGAUAAAUGCAAGAGUAACCAAAGCAAAAGCAUUUGCUAAGAUUUUCAUUAAUCAAGAAUGAAAGUGGGAGGCUUAGAUACAGUCAUAGGUCUGACCAUAAAUGAUGCUGACUAGCAAUCUGGUGGUGUUAUCCCCAUGACCCACCAGGCAGCUUCUGGGAAAUCAAAUUCUGAAAC
rnacentral:ncRNA from 1 species